UGGGGAAUCUUGCGCAAUGCGCGACAGCGUGACGCAGCAACGCCGCGUGGGUGAAGAAGGCCUUCGGGUUGUAAAUCCCUUUCAGGAGGGACGAAGCUUCGGGAGUGAAUAGCUCUCCGGAGUGACGGUACCUCCACAAGAAGCCCCGGCUAACUACGUGCCAGCAGCCGCGGUAAUACGUAGGGGGCUAGCGUUGUCCGGAAUCAUUGGGCGUAAAGAGCGCGUAGGCGGCCAGAUAAGUCCGGUGUGAAAGUCAAAGGCUCAACCUUUGAAUGGCGCUGGAAACUGUCUGGCUAGAGUCCGGGAGGGGCGAGUGGAAUUCCUGGUGUAACGGUGAAAUGCGCAGAUAUCAGGAGGAACACCAAUGGCGAAGGCAGCUCGCUGGAACGGUACUGACGCUGAGGCGCGAAAGCGUGGGGAGCGAACAGG
rnacentral:rRNA from 1 species